GCGAAGGCAAUGCCCGAGGGACUGAAUAAGGUAUCUCAAAGGAAAAUUUUAGCAGUUAUUGAAAGCAGUUGAAUUGCUUUUGAAAAAAAAACCUGAAUGUUGUAUUUAUGAGACCAAUCAUCAAUCAGGAAGAGAAAGAAAGAAAACCCAGCAACCCAGGAAGGCAAAUGGUGAUAAAGAUCCCACAUAAAGUCACUUUUCUCUGCAGGCAGAAAGUCUGAUGAACUGAAACAGAAAGUCCUUCUCAUUGAUUUCACUGGGAAAACAUGGACGGGGAGGUCUGCACUGACCCCAUCUGACCAGUGGAGCCACAGAACAGUAUUAAGUAAGAUCAGUUCCGUAUUGGGACAGCCAUCUGAAGACAGAGGAGCUGUGCUUAAGCUUGUGCACCACGUCUUGCCUGUUCCAGUAUGAACCAUCUGAUCCUGCAGGCCUUCCUGACAUAAGAAUCUUACAUGUGCCCUUGCUGUCUAUAUUACCUGGGGUUGUAGAGCUGGAUGGCCUCAAGAGGUUGUGCAACCCAUUUCUUGUUGAACACAGAAGCAACUAUGCCCAGGUUAUUCCUGGCAGAUGUUUGUCUAAUCUACUCUGAGGAAAUCUUGAAUGAUGGAGAUUCCACAGCCUUUCACAGCAGUCUAUUCCCCUGCUUGACAUCUGUAACAUACAUAAAUCAGAGGACAUUCAGAGAUGCUGAAAGGCAGCAAGAUGCUUGCCUCUUCUAACAAUAAAAAUAUAUUACUUACCUAA